rnacentral:lncRNA from 1 species
UAUUGCUUCUGAUGAUCUCGAAUUUGUAGAAGAUUGAGCCACACACGUAUCCGACCUCUACGAAUAUCAAUCGAAAUCUAUCUCGAAUCUCUUUCUUCUCGUAGAAGAUUUUUCUUCUCAAGAAGAACCUUGACCUUAAAGACUUGGAUCAACUCCUUUGAUCUUAACUGCGAGAUCAACUCCUUGAUCUGCAGUCUUCUUCUUCUUCUUCUUGAUCUACGAUCUCUAAGUCACCAAGAUAACUUUUGGGCAUGUGGAAGAGAAGUACCCAACCUUUGGGCAUGGACAAGAAGAGAGGGAG